CUUAAGGUCUCAUCAUGCAGUAUCAGUGUUCUGAUGCAAGUACAGAUUGAUAUUAUGCAUUUUUGUAUAGAUGAAGAAAGCUAGACUCAAUCUGGAAGCAACAAAAGAGUGUACAAAAAGCAAACCCUUUCUCCCUAAAAUCAAU